GGCGAACACGUCGUAUGGCGCUGCGAUAUCCAUGAUUAUCCGUGAUUAUUCUAUGUUUAUCGGUGUGUGUGUGUGUGUGUGAAAUAAAUUACGACAUUUCGCGAGUGCGAUCAUAGUACGAGGAACAUCUUAAGUCGUGCGGACAUUUUGAUAUUUAAAAAAUCUGAUAGAAUAUAUUGUGAUCAUAUCAGGAAGACAGUAAUUUCAGCAUUCGCAAAUGCCGUACCGGAGGAUCCGGUUCGGGUCUAACGAGGUCGGCUCAAAGAUUUAGGCCGGACCUGUCUGCAAGUCGUUGCGAUAUCGAAUAGAGCAGACACACGUCACGCGUCUCUAGAAGAUGCGAUGCCUGAGAGAUUGCCGCGCCAAAGGAUUCGGCUCGGGCCUGUCUGAGUCGGCUCGAAG